rnacentral:rRNA from 1 species
GAUGAACGCUGGCGGCGUGCCUAAUACAUGCAAGUCGAGCGGACGGACGAGAAGCUUGCUUCGCUGCUGUUAGCGGCGGACGGGUGAGUAAAACGUGGAUAACCUACCUAAAAGACUGGGAUAACUUCGGGAAACCGGCGCUAAUACCGGAUAAUAUUUUGAACCACAUGGGUCAAGAGAGAAAGCCGGUCUUGCUGUCAGUUAUCGAUGGAUCCGCGCUGCAUUAGCUGGUUGGUAAGGUAAAGGCUUACGAAGGCAACGAUGCAUAGCCGACCUGAGAGCGUGAUCGGCCACAUGGGAACUGAGACACGGUCCAGACUCCUGCGGGAGGCCGCAGGAGGGAAUCUUGCGCAAUGGGCGAAAGCCUGACGGAGAGACGGCGCGUGCGUGACGGCGUGGUGGGGAUCGUAAAGCGGGGUUUUUAGUGAAGAACAGAUGUCGAAGGAACUGUGUAGAGCGUGACGGUAACUAAUCAAAAAGCAACGGCUAACUACGUG